GAAAUUCUAAUAAAUUUUCAUUACAUUGAACUUUGGCAUAAGGCCAUUACAUAUACCAGACAAUGGCUGGUCUAAAUUAACAAAUACAUCACCUAAACAUUACCUAACUCCACUUAAUUCAUUGGAAAUAGGUGAAAUUGACUUGUACACUUAGACAAAGCUGGUAAUCAGUUCUUUCACCAUCUAGUUACAUCAAAUGUCAUCCAAACAUAGUUCAAAAUGAACUAAAUUAUAAAACAUUAUUAAAGGUAACAAAAUGAAACCGAGAUAAAACAGUAGCAUUGAUAUCCUCAAUUGCAUAUAUUUCAUCUGGCAAUACUGCAGCAGCUACUUCAUAUUUCAUCCACAAGACUUAUGUGCAUGAAUUCUUCUUGGUUGCAUGAGCUGCAUAGAGGGCCAU
rnacentral:lncRNA from 1 species